rnacentral:rRNA from 1 species
UACGGAGGGAGCUAGCGUUGUUCGGAAUUACUGGGCGUAAAGCGCGCGUAGGCGGCUUUGUAAGUUAGAGGUGAAAGCCUGGAGCUCAACUUCAGAAUUGCCUUUAAGACUGCAUCGCUUGAAUCCGGGAGAGGUGAGUGGAAUUCCGAGUGUAGAGGUGAAAUUCAUAGAUAUUCGGAAGAACACCAGUGGCGAAGGCGGCUCACUGGACUGGCAUUGACGCUGAGGUGCGAAAGCUAGGGGAGCAAACAGG